rnacentral:lncRNA from 1 species
AGAGAGAGAGAGAAACUCCGUUCCCCACUGAUUGCUUUCAUUUUCGCAGUUCUCUUCAGGAACGAAUUCACCGGCUUCCCCGGCCGGACGAAGGAACCGAGGACCGAGUUUUCACUCGAAGUCUCCGCGUUCUGCUUUCAGCGGCUCGGGUGUAUGUACACCGCACGCCCAGCGAUCGCUGGCCACUGCCUCUUUGUGCAUAUGCAUGUUUGAGCAAAAGCAUCUUCGGCGUCUUCGUUGCGCCUCGGAGAUUCUUUCUUGCACUCGAACGCUCCAGGACUUGCAGGAACGCUUCUCGCUUUCAUGUCUCUGCAGAAAUGCGACUUUUUCUCUCGCCGCCAGCCAGUGCGGGUGCUCCAUCGCGUUUCUUCACCUGCGCCGCGGUUCUCUCCUUCUAGGCUGAGGCUCUCGUUUCGCCUGUUUUUUUUUACGCACACCUUUCUUGUCGCGUCUUGCGUCUGUUACUCUCGGUGUUGAGCAAGAGAGGACGUCCAGCGCCCUGUGCGUCUCUCGGCAUCCCCGCAACCGAGUCUCUCAGGUCUCCCCAGAUCUGCGCCUCCGUUCACUCUCAAGAUUUCUCCAACAAAGACCCCACCCAACCUCUUGACAGCGAGGACGCGACUGGAAACCGGAAUUCCCCAUUCUUGCCCGGACUCGCGCAAAGAAGCU